AAAAACUCCGGUGGUGUGAGAUGGACCCUCGUCUGAUUAGCCAGUUGGCGGGGUAACGGCCCACCAAAGCGACGAUCAGUAGCCGGCCUGAGAGGGUGAACGGCCACAUUGGGACUGAGACACGGCCCAAACUCCUACGGGAGGCAGCAGUGGGGAAUAUUGCACAAUGGGGGAAACCCUGAUGCAGCGACGCCGCGUGAGUGAAGAAGUAUUUCUGUAUGUAAAGCUCUAUCAACAAGGAAGAAGUGACGGUACCUGAAUAAGAAGCCCCGGCUAACUGCGUGCCAGCAGCCGCGGUAAUACGUACGGGGCAAGCGUUAUCCGGAUUUACUGGGUGUAAAGGGAGCGUAGACGGCAAGGCAAGUCUGAAGUGAAAGCCCGGUGCUUAA
rnacentral:rRNA from 1 species